GGCUUGUUAGCUCGAUGGUUAGAGCCCCGUUGGUUACGCGGAAGUCUCGAGUUCAAUUCUCAUACAAGCCA
rnacentral:tRNA from 1 species